rnacentral:rRNA from 1 species
AACAAGGGUGGAUGGUGGAUGCCUUGGCACUGAACGGCGAUGAAGGACGUAGCGUAGCGACGAUACGCCUCGGGGAGGUGCGUAGCAACCUGUGAUCCGGGGAUGUCCGAAUGGGGAAACCUAGUGCUGCAAACCAGCACUGCCAGUGCUUCGCACUGACAUGCGGAUUGAUGCUGAUACGGCACGCAACGUGCCGCCGCGGAUUAAUGCUGAUGAAUUUUAUCAUCCGCAUAAAUCAGUUAAAAUCAGCGUAAAUCAGCGUGCCAAUGCGGAGCAGUGGCGCGUACCUGGGGAAGUGAAUCAUCUCAGUACCCAGAGGAAAAUAAAACAAUAUCGUUCGCUUCGCUCACUGUUACGCGAUUCGAAACUACAAAUUCAUUCGAAUCUACGAAUACCGAUGCAUUUUUUGCAUUUCAUUUGUAGAUUCGCGCUAUUCGUAGUUUUGCAUCGGUAAUAGCGAGCGGAGCGAGCGGUGAUUCCCUAAGUAGCGGCGAGCGAAAAGGGACCGCCUGCAGUUUUUCUGCAGAAUAGCCCAAACCUACCAGUGCUUCGCACUGACAUGCGGAUUAAUGCUGAUACGGCACGCAACGUGCCGCCGCGGAUUAAUGCUGAUAGUACACUAUCCGCAUAAAUCAGCUGAAAUCAGCGUGAAUCAGCGUGCCACUGCGGAGCAGUGGUGGGGGUCGUAAGAUUAAACAUUUCACUCACUUCGUUUCGCUGGACGCGGAUUGAUACUGAUUGCGGCGGAUUAAUGCGGAUUUUUAUCCGUGCGAAUCCGUUCCAAUCCGUAUAAAUCCGUGUUUAAGCGGGCGGAGCGAGCGAGGAGAGUUACCAAUCCAUUGGUUAGCCGAAUCCGCUGGAAAGCGGAGCCAGAGCAGGUGAGAGCCCUGUAGGCGAAAACCGGUGGACUCUCUUGUUUUUAUCUUGAGUACCUCGAGGCCAACGAACCUUGAGGGAAUCCGGGAGUACUAUCUCCUAAGGCUAAAUACGUUCGGUGACCGAUAGUGAACUAGUACCGUGAGGGAAAGGUGAAAAGCAGCCCGGUGAGGGCGAUGAAAUAGUACCUGAAACCAUCCACUUACAAGGAAGCAACGCCGAUGCGUAGCAUCGGAAUGACGAAUUUUGAAUUCUUAAUUUUGAUUGAAUUUCUUAAUGGUUUAAUUUUUAAAUUAAGUCAUUGGAAUUUGAUUAGAAAUUAGAAAUUAAAAAUUGGAAAUUCCGCUGCUGCGCAUCGGUUAUGCUGUGCCUAUUGAAGAAUGAGCCAACGAGUUUAUGUAUGCUGCAAAGUCUAACCCGCCUCAGGCGGAGAAGGCGUAGCGAAAGCGAGUCUGAACAGGGCGCCGCGUUCACUUCGUUCCGCUGAUGCGAUACUAAUAUACGAAUUCAUACUAAUAAUACGAAUAAUACCAAUUGUUCGUAUCCAUUAGUAUCAUUCGCAUACAUUCGUAUAUUGGUAUCGUGUCAGCGAGCGGAGCGAGCGAUAGCAGCAUGUGUAAAACCCGAAACCAGACGAGCUUGCCUUGGCCAGGGUGAAAGCCGAUGAAAAUCGGCUGGAGGCCCGCACCGGUGAGUCGUUCAACACUCUCGGAUGAGCUGGGGUAAGAAGUGAAAAGCUAAUCGAGUCUGGUAAUAGCUGGUUCUCUCCGAAAUAGUUUUAGGACUAGCCUCGCAUGUUUCCCACUGGAGGUAGAGCACUGGAUGAACGGCAAAGGGCGAAAGCUCGGCCGCUCAAUCAAACUCCGAAUGCCAGCGGGUAAAAGUGCGGGAGUCAGACCGUGGGGGCUAAGCUCCAUGGUCGCGAGGGGAAGAGCCCAGACCGCCGUCUAAGGUCCCCAAGUGCGUGCUCAGUGUGAAAGGUAGUCAGUGUGCCCUGACAGAUAGGAGGUUGGCUUAGAGGUAGCCAUCCUUUAAAGAGUGUGUAACAACUCACUAUUCGAGGACACUGGCGCCGAAAAUUUAUCGGGGCUUAAGCACGCCACCGAAGCCGCGGCGUUGCUCGCUCGAAUAAAUACCGAAUGUUAACGAAUCAAAACCGAAUCGUAUUUGAUUUACAUUUGAUUCUAUUCGAUGUUUAUUCGGGCGAGUAACGGGUAGGAGAGCAUUCCCUGUGCAGUGAANNNNNNNGCAAAUCUAGUGAAAACCUAGAUCUCCGCAAAUCCAAGGUUUCCUCCGCAACGAACAUCGACGGAGGGUGAGGCGGCCCUAAGGCAAUGGCGAAAGCCGCAGCUGAAGGACAGCCGGUUAAUAUUCCGGCCCGCCCAUGUUUUUCGAUGGGGCGACGAAGCGCAGUACGCGAGGCGUCUUAAUGGUUUGACGUCCUUGGCGCGAGCGUGGUAUCCAGGCAAAUCCGGAUACCUGCCUUUCAUGGCGAACGUCAGCGCAGAGGCGAGGUGAGGUUCUUACCUUACCGAGUCCGCAGAGCGCGUUUCCAAGAAAACCCCCUAAGGUUAGGAACAUGGGCACCGUACCGUAAACCGCCACAGGUGGAUGAGGCGAGUAGCCUCAGGAGAACGGGUGAUUCUUCGUUAAGGAACUCGGCAAAAAAGCUAGGCGUAACUUCGGGA